GCUUAAACCACCACCGUCACGCUCUGCACGCAACUAUCAAGACGAAAGCCAUCGCGAUUGCUUUCGUCCCUACCAUCGUCUGCUAGAAAGAAGGCAGCUGCUGUAUCCACUCCUCACCGAUCUCUUGAUUCCCACCAUAUCUGCGGAUUCCGGGGCCACGAUUCAUUAGCCAUGGUGUCGGCAACGAAGAUCAAAUCUGUCGAUUUUUACAGGAAAAUUCCCAGAGACCUGACCGAGGCAUCACUGUCAGGUGCCGGAUUGUCAAUUAUAGCUGCUUUGUCCAUGAUGUUUUUAUUUGGAAUGGAGCUGAGUAGUUACCUGGCAGUGAGCACUACUACAUCAGUUGUCGUUGACAAGAGUUCUGAUGGUGACUUUUUACGAAUUGUGUUCAAUGUCAGCUUUCCAGCAUUGUCUUGUGAAUUUGCAUCUGUUGACGUCAGUGAUGUCCUGGGAACGAGUAGGUUGAAUAUUACUAAGACUGUCCGAAAGUACUCAAUUGACUCAAGAUUAAAUCCUACUGGUUCUGAGUUUCGGUCAGGACCUCUUGCGAAAUCAGUUAAGCAUGAUGAUGAUAAUGAUGAAGAGUACGAAGAGGGUUCUGUUUCUCUGAACGGACUGGAAUUUGAUAGAAUUUCGCAUCAGUAUUCAAUUUUGGUGGUAAACUUUUAUGCGCCAUGGUGUCCUUGGAGCAAUCUCUUGAAACCUUCAUGGGAGAAAGCAGCUAAAAUUAUAAGAGAAAGGCAUGACCCUGAAAUGGAUGGACGCAUACUUUUGGCAAAGGUUGAUUGCACUGUGGAGGUUGGCUUGUGUAAAAGGAAUCACAUACAAGGAUUCCCAUCUAUUCGUAUCUUCCGUAAGGGAAGUGAUGUAAGAGAGGAUCAUGGGCACCAUGAGCAUGAAUCAUAUUAUGGUGAUCGAGAUACGGAUAGUCUGGUCAAGGCAAUGGAGGAUUUGGUGGCACCUAUUUCUUUGCAGAUUCAGAAUGAGUCGGAUAGUCUGAACACAAGUAUGAAACAUGAAAUUAAAAGGCCUGCACCUUUAGCGGGAGGGUGUAGACUUGAGGGUUUUGUGCGUGUAAAGAGGGUUCCAGGAAAUCUUAUAAUAUCUGCUCAUUCAGCUUCCCAUUCAUUUGAUGCUUCUCAGAUGAACAUGUCACAUUAUAUUUCCCAUUUUUCAUUUGGUAAAAAGAUCACUCCACGUGUAAUGAGUGAUAUAAAGCGGCUUCAGCCACAUCUUGGGAGUAGCCAUGAUCGCCUGAGUGGCUCAUCAUAUAUGAGCAACCCAAGUGAUUCCAAUGCAAAUGUAACUAUUGAGCAUUAUCUUCAAGUUGUGAAGACUGAGGUGAUGACAAGAUCAUAUACACUAGUCGAGGAGCAUGAGUACACUGCCCAUAGUAGUUUGGUUCACAGUCUUGACAUCCCUGUUGCCAAGUUUCAUUUUGAGCCAUCUCCGAUGCAGGUCUUAAUAACUGAAAAUCCCAAGUCAUUUUCUCACUUCAUAACCAACGUUUGCGCCAUCAUCGGAGGUGUUUUCACGGUUGCUGGGAUCUUGGACUCAAUUUUGCACAACACUCUUAGGAUUAUGAAAAAAGUCGAGCUCGGGAAGAACUUUUAACCACAGACCCUAUUGCAGCCUGGCAAAUUAAAGAUACCGUAACUCUGUGAAGAAGACAUGAUUCUAAUUCUUGGGCAGAAAAAAUAAUGUCUGUGUUAUCAAUACACACACAAAUCUCUACAGAAGCACACUUCUCAGAAACCAAAAGAGAAGAAAAAAAGACAUAGUAUUUCCCAACUCAAAGGGCCAAAACAAUCGUCGAUCCGAUGAAGCCUGCG